rnacentral:tRNA from 1 species
GCUGGGUUCGUAUAACGGCUAGUACCCAAGAUUUUCAUUCUUGUAAUAGGAGUUCGAUUCUCCUACCCAGUA